UCUCGCUUUUUUUUCCCCCGGCUUUCCGGCUACCAGUUCGGCAGUGGAAAACUACUCAGCUCAUCUGGGUUACUUGUUUGUCUCUUUGGGGCCUUAUUGUUCCAUUGACGCUGGCCUGGCAAUCCCAGUUCUUCUACCUCUCCAGUCCUAGAAUUGCAGGAGUGAGCCACCAUGCUUGUAUCCAUCUGGAGGUUUUCCCUGCAUGCAGUGUAAGAAAUCCCUGCCUUAAUGUGUCUGGAGUGACUACGCUGCAGCAACAAGCGUCUUUGCUGAGGAAUUAAAAGGCUCUGGAAGCAGCAGCAGCUGAAAUAUGAGUGAGGAAUGAGGGACGCGAAGACAGCCACUCUCAAAUGUACAGAAGUCCCUGCCAAGAAGACUUAAAAUAUAUUGAAAGUCAUACCACCAAGAGCAUGUCUGGAUCUACAGAUACUGAAGGCAGGCAGCAAACUGGUGGUGGUCACCUCCCCUCUGCAAAGUUGGUGUCUGACAACCUUGUCUAGGGCCUGUGGCAGAGAUAUGGAGGAGUGCUUGUACCUGGAACCUAGUAAGAAGAUUUGCCAUUGGAAAAACAACUUCCCUUAACACACACUGGAGCAGUGACUGGAGGAGAGUGAGACAGCAUGUUUAGGAUUUAGCAUGACACUUGAUGUAUAAGCCUAAGUGACAACUCCGAGCACCUGUAGUAGAGAUGGGGCUGAAAUCUCAUCAUCACUCAACCGCCUUGUCAUGCUAUCAUCCUCUCGGCUCCCUGAAUCUCUUGAGACAGCUUCAACCUUACACCUUACCCUGUAACCAUAAAAGGAAAACAGAUGAUGUGCCUGGGUUGGAUGGAUCACCAGCCAGAGACAGAGGGGCAAGCAGAGGCUGCAUGGGGCUCCCCCAGGCUUCACCUACAAGGCAGAGCAAUGGACCUUAUGUCUUGCAGAUCAGAACUUCUGGGACAGUGACUGACUUGCAGUGGUUGCCCUCCUAGAAUGUCAGCAAGUGUGGAGGGGCUGGAAUUCCUCCUAUGCUCCCACUGCCCUGGGGAGCUGAAAUGGAGGCAGUGGCAACUAGGGAACUCAUGGUGGUGGUGGAAGGCAGGUCUGAGUCACAGCCUAUGGCUGACUAGACUACCUGGGAAACGUUGGGAAAGAUACUUCAGUGGUUUAAAAUAAAAACAAUCACAUUUA